UACAGAGGUCCCAAGCGUUGUUCGGAUUCACUGGGCGUAAAGGGUGCGUAGGUGGUUAGGUAGGUCCGAUGUGAAAUCUCCAGGCUCAACCUGGAAAUGGCAUUGGAUACUACCUAGCUCGAGGAGUGGAGGGGGGACUGGAAUUCUCGGUGUAGCAGUGAAAUGCGUAGAUAUCGGUAGGAACACCUGUGGCGAAGGCGGUCUCCUGGGGCAGACUUGACGCUGAGGCGCGAAAGCUGGGGGAGCGAACGGG
rnacentral:rRNA from 1 species